rnacentral:rRNA from 1 species
UACGGGGGGAGCAAGCGUUGUUCGGAUUUACUGGGCGUAAAGGGCGCGUAGGCGGUCAGCACAAGUCAGUUGUGAAAUCUCCGGGCUUAACUCGGAAAGGUCAACUGAUACUGUGCGACUAGAGUGCAGAAGGGGCAACUGGAAUUCUCGGUGUAGCGGUGAAAUGCGUAGAUAUCGAGAGGAACACCGGUGGCGAAGGCGACAUCCUGGACCAACACUGACGCUGAGUGAGCGAAAGCCAGGGGAGCAAACGGG